GAUGAACGCUGGCUACAGGCUUAACACAUGCAAGUCGAGGGGAAACGACGGGGAAGCUUGCUUCCCCGGGCGUCGACCGGCGCACGGGUGAGUAACGCGUAUCCAACCUGCCUCUGACUGAGGGAUAACCCGUCGAAAGUCGGCCUAAUACCUCAUGGUAUCGUCUGCGGGCAUCCAACGACGAUUAAAGAUUUCAUCGGUCAGGGAUGGGGAUGCGUCUGAUUAGCUUGUUGGCGGGGUAACGGCCCACCAAGGCUACGAUCAGUAGGGGUUCUGAGAGGAAGGUCCCCCACAUUGGAACUGAGACACGGUCCAAACUCCUACGGGAGGCAGCAGUGAGGAAUAUUGGUCAAUGGGCGAGAGCCUGAACCAGCCAAGUAGCGUGCAGGAAGACGGCCCUAUGGGUUGUAAACUGCUUUUAUGCGGGGAUAAAGUGAGGGACGUGUCCCUCAUUGCAGGUACCGCAUGAAUAAGGACCGGCUAAUUCCGUGCCAGCAGCCGCGGUAAUACGGAAGGUCCUGGCGUUAUCCGGAUUUAUUGGGUUUAAAGGGAGCGUAGGCCGUGGAUUAAGCGUGUUGUGAAAUGCAGGUGCUCAACGUCUGCACUGCAGCGCGAACUGGUCCACUUGAGUGUGCGCAACGCAGGCGGAAUUCGUCGUGUAGCGGUGAAAUGCUUAGAUAUGACGAAGAGCCCCGAUUGCGAAGGCAGCUUGCGGGAGCACAACUGACGCUGAAGCUCGAAAAGUGCGGGUAUCGAACAGG
rnacentral:rRNA from 1 species